rnacentral:rRNA from 1 species
CAGAACAACGAAAGUUGUUCGUGAGUCUCUCAAAUUUUCGCAACACGAUGAGCUAAUCUGCGAUAAGCGCCGGUAAGGUGAUAUGAACCGUUAUAACCGGCGAUACCCGAAUGGGGAAACCCAGUGUGACUCGUCACACUAUCAUUAACUGAAUCCAUAGGUUAAUGAGGCGAACCGGGGGAACUGAAACAUCUAAGUACCCCGAGGAAAAGAAAUCAACCGAGAUUCCCCCAGUAGCGGCGAGCGAACGGGGAGGAGCCCAGAGCCUGAAUCAGCAUGUGUGUUAGUGGAAGCGUCUGGAAAGGCGCGCGAUACAGGGUGACAGCCCCGUACACAAAAGCGCAUGUGCUGUGAGCUCGAUGAGUAGGGCGGGACACGUGGUAUCCUGUCUGAAUAUGGGGGGACCAUCCUCCAAGGCUAAAUACUCCUGACUGACCGAUAGUGAACCAGUACCGUGAGGGAAAGGCGAAAAGAACCCCGGCGAGGGGAGUGAAAAAGAACCUGAAACCGUGUACGUACAAGCAGUGGGAGC